GGCUUAUUCUAAACUUAAAUGGGGGAAGGUUGGGCAUAUCCGCAGGUUGCUUCUUUGGAGUUAUUGCCUACUAAAAAAAGCCCAGUGAGUAAUCACCACCAAUGUAUCUUCUGAAACUGCCUCUGAAUUCAACAUUGCAGUUUUCAGGAAAUCAUUAUACUCUUGUUUCUUUCAUUUGUGACUAUGCAUUUAAAAAUGUCAUUGUCACCUUAAA